UAGGGGUUCUGAGAGGAAGGUCCCCCACAUUGGAACUGAGACACGGUCCAAACUCCUACGGGAGGCAGCAGUGAGGAAUAUUGGUCAAUGGGCGAGAGCCUGAACCAGCCAAGUAGCGUGAAGGAUGACUGCCCUAUGGGUUGUAAACUUCUUUUAUAAAGGAAUAAAGUCGGGUAUGUAUACCCGUUUGCAUGUACUUUAUGAAUAAGGAUCGGCUAACUCCGUGCCAGCAGCCGCGGUAAUACGGAGGAUCCGAGCGUUAUCCGGAUUUAUUGGGUUUAAAGGGAGCGUAGAUGGAUGUUUAAGUCAGUUGUGAAAGUUUGCGGCUCAACCGUAAAAUUGCAGUUGAUACUGGAUAUCUUGAGUGCAGUUGAGGCAGGCGGAAUUCGU
rnacentral:rRNA from 1 species